CUUGCAGCGGUGAUCCGCCUCGGGUUGGCUAUUUUUGGCCGUUUUUGCCCGAAUUCAGCCAAAUUUGCAUCAGUUCUUACGAGAAAACACACUUACGGCAUUUUAUUGGCUGAAAAAUAUAAAAAACCAAAACUCACCGGUGGCGAGGCUCUCUAGUGCGGUGGCUCUACCGGCUCACGUUGCAAUUGGAUCUUUCAUUGGCUAACCUGUAGAGAAGGAAACAGUGAUCACAAGGGUGAAAAAAUCACAUCGAAUGAGAAUCGGGAAGGGGCUCAUCAUAGGCGUUUUCCAAAAUACCCUA
rnacentral:lncRNA from 1 species